UGCGUAGGCGGUCUUUUAAGUCAGGAGUGAAAGGCUACGGCUCAACCGUAGUAAGCUCUUGAAACUGGAGGACUUGAGUGCAGGAGAGGAGAGUGGAAUUCCUAGUGUAGCGGUGAAAUGCGUAGAUAUUAGGAGGAACACCAGUAGCGAAGGCGGCUCUCUGGACUGUAACUGACGCUGAGGCACGAAAGCGUGGGAAGCAAACA
rnacentral:rRNA from 1 species